UCGAUCUCAAAUCAGGUAGGACUACCCGCUGAACUUAAGCAUAUCAAUAAGCGGAGGAAAAGAAACUAACAAGGAUUCCCCUAGUAACUGCGAGUGAAGCGGGAAGAGCUCAAAUUUAAAAUCUGGCGUGCCUCUGGUCGUCCGAGUUGUAGUCUAGAGAAGUGUU
rnacentral:rRNA from 1 species